GAUGAACGCUAGCUACAGGCUUAACACAUGCAAGUCGAGGGGAAACGAUAUUGGAAGCUUGCUUCCGAUAGGCGUCGACCGGCGCACGGGUGAGUAACGCGUAUCCAACCUGCCCAUCACUUGGGGAUAACCUUGCGAAAGUAAGACUAAUACCCAAUGACGUCUCUAGAAGACAUCUGAAGGAGAUUAAAGAUUUAUCGGUGAUGGAUGGGGAUGCGUCUGAUUAGCUUGUUGGCGGGGUAACGGCCCACCAAGGCGACGAUCAGUAGGGGUUCUGAGAGGAAGGUCCCCCACAUUGGAACUGAGACACGGUCCAAACUCCUACGGGAGGCAGCAGUGAGGAAUAUUGGUCAAUGGACGAGAGUCUGAACCAGCCAAGUAGCGUGCAGGAUGACGGCCCUAUGGGUUGUAAACUGCUUUUAUAAGGGAUAAAGUGGGAGUCGUGACUCUUUUUGCAUGUACCUUAUGAAUAAGGACCGGCUAAUUCCGUGCCAGCAGCCGACGG
rnacentral:rRNA from 1 species